AAACAGAAAAACAACAAAAGGAAGUGGCUAAGGGCAUAUUUUACUGUGCACUAAUGAACUGUAAAGGAUAUAGCCUAAAUAUUUUAGAUGUUUCGAAAGCAGAAAAGCAAAAGCACUUAACAAGAAAUCUCUUUGAUUUCUAGGUUGCUUUCUACAUCUUGCUGCCAAAGUAGAAGCUCCUUGAGCUGAGGAUCUUUCCUUUUCCCCUUCCCCCUACUCCAUACUGCCUUCUAACCACUGACAGUAGGUAAAAAGUAUUCAUGUUUCAGUCCAGUACCUUUAUGUGUCUCACACUGGAGGGCUUUUUCCAUUCCCCUGGGGUUGGGCAGGCCAUGAUUAUCACUCUAAUAGAGUUAAUUAAGAGCCUUAAGGCCCUGAUGAUUUGUUUUCUUUGGGACCAGACCUAUGGCUUGGGCCUCCAAGCUACCUGCUCUGCCUCAACCCUUUCCCUGAAAAAACAGCCAAGCAAAAUCCAGCAACUGGCUCUUCAGGAGCCAUGUGCACCCUACUGCUUUAGCGUGAGCUAGGGGAGUAAAUGUAGAUGUCUUCUCCUUGGCAUGUAGCUGAGCUCCAUUAGCUGCAGUGAACAGCUGAAACCAGGACAUGGACAAUAGCUCAAACAAAUAAAAAUGACCCUUAGAAUUUAAUCAGUAAGACAAGGCACAUCUCAAAGAAGUCCAUCUCCAAGAUGGGCUUGAUGCUCAGAAUGCCGGCAGAGCAGCAGUUUGUUCAGAGAGCAGGUGAAGACCGUCAGGUUAGGUCUAUAAUCACUUAUCCUUAGCACCUGGGAGAGCCAUCCCUUAAAAUGCUAUUCUCCUCUUGCCACAGCCUCAUUCAGCUCAGUAGGAACCUCUGAGAUCAGGGAAGAACCUUUUUUUUUUAAUAACUACAGGAGCAUAGGGUCACUCCUACAUGUGGAAUAAGAUAAAAGGCUUUUAUGUGGGAAUCUGCAGUCCUCUGGAGAGUUAUAAAGAUCAAAGACUUGAAACAGUGGUUAAUUGCAGCUUUUGAAACUGUGACCACAACAGACUGUUUGAACUAUGGUGUGAGAGAAACUGAGAAUUUCCCCAGGCAACUCUGCGCAGGUACUAGCCACAGAGCUGACAAGGAAAGCUUUCAAAGCACAAUGAAAUGCAGCACGGGAGCUGCACCCAGAAGAGGAAACUCCAGCCAUCUGGAGACGAGGAUGACCAGCGGCCACAGCAGUUUGUAAAAUUGCAAGAGCUGCCAAAAUUAAACUGUGAAGUCAGGCAGGAAGGCAACCAAUGACUGGUGAGAUCAGAAGUUCAGAGAUGCCCCAGAUGAGCUCCCAACAACAAGUGUGGCUGGCGUGCAACAAAGUUUAUUAAGGAUGUUGAGAGGAGGGGAAAGUAUCUGUGCAGAAGAUGCCCAGCUGGUGAGGAGGGACUGGUGGUGAUGCUCAGGUCACUUGAUGAAUCCCAUUGGCCAAGCCCCUGGGAGAUCCCACCCAUUCGCAAGUGUAAAAUAAAUCUCUAAAGUUGUACCUCAUGUACCACUUGACCUUAUUGCAUUUAGCCUGCUGGCUUUAUAUCUAUUUAUUUAUUUUAUUUUGGUUUGUGCCCAAAGAGGGGCUCGAAGGAAAUGAAUUUUGAACCACCACCUUUCACCACCUUGCAGUACUACCCUGAUCCCUGCAUCCAGCGGUUUGUAGAAACUCCGAGCCACUUCUCCUGGAAGGAAAGUUACUACCGAUCAGCCAUGUCCCAGAGCUCGCAGCCCAGGGAAUUCCUCAGUCCAGAGGUGCUCCAGCAUAUCUGGGACUUCCUGGAACAGCCAAUAUGCUCAGUUCAGCCAAUUGAUUUAAACUUCAUUGACACCCCAUCUGAAAAUGGCCCUACUAACAAAAUAGAGAUCAGCAUGGACUGCGUCCGGGUGCAGGACACAGAGCUGAAUGACCCAAUGUGGCCGCAGUACACGAACCUGGGGCUCCUGAACAGCAUGGACCAGCAGAUCCAGAACGGCUCUUCCUCCACCAGUCCCUACAACACUGAGCAUGCACAGAACAGCGUCACGGCCCCUUCGCCUUAUGCCCAGCCCAGCUCGACUUUUGAUGCCCUCUCACCUUCCCCAGCCAUCCCUUCCAACACAGACUACCCAGGACCUCACAGCUUUGAUGUAUCAUUUCAACAGUCUAGCACAGCAAAGUCAGCAACAUGGACGUAUUCCACUGAACUGAAAAAGCUGUACUGCCAGAUUGCCAAGACAUGUCCCAUUCAGAUCAAAGUGAUGACCCCACCACCUCAGGGAGCUGUUAUCAGGGCUAUGCCAGUCUACAAGAAAGCUGAACAUGUCACUGAAGUGGUCAAACGCUGCCCGAACCAUGAGCUGAGCCGGGAGUUCAACGAAGGGCAGAUUGCGCCUCCCAGCCACCUGAUCAGGGUGGAAGGGAACAGCCACGCCCAGUAUGUAGAAGACCCCAUCACUGGGAGGCAGAGCGUGCUGGUCCCCUAUGAGCCGCCCCAGGUUGGUACAGAGUUCACAACAGUCUUGUACAACUUCAUGUGUAACAGUAGCUGCGUGGGAGGGAUGAACCGGCGCCCAAUCCUCAUCAUUGUGACACUGGAAACCAGAGAUGGGCAAGUCUUGGGCCGCCGAUGUUUCGAAGCCCGCAUUUGCGCUUGCCCAGGCAGAGACCGCAAAGCAGAUGAGGACAGCAUCCGCAAGCAGCAAGUCUCUGACAGCACAAAGAAUGGUGAUGGUACGAAGCGCCCUUUUCGACAAGGAACUCAUGGCAUACAGAUGACAUCUAUCAAAAAAAGACGUUCCCCAGAUGAUGAGCUCUUAUACUUGCCAGUGAGGGGACGUGAGACCUAUGAAAUGCUACUAAAGAUCAAAGAGUCCCUGGAACUUAUGCAGUACCUUCCCCAGCACACGAUUGAGACCUACCGCCAACAGCAGCAGCAGCAGCACCAGCACUUGCUCCAGAAGCAUCUCCUUUCGGCCUGCUUCAGGAGUGAACUCACGGACUCAAGGAGAGACCCUCCCAAACAGAUCGAUGCCAUCCUAAAACAUUCCAGCCCCCCAAACCCAUCAGUAUAUCCAUAAACUGAGCUGGUGGGGUCACUUUGCCCAGCUGGCAGGACUAGGAACAGUGGGGCAAAUACACAACCUGACAGCAACAGAGUAAAUAGAGCAAUAUUCUGAAGGGACUCAAAAUUUGCAAAAACAACAGACGUUUGUACAGACCUUUUAGCUGUAGCCCAUAGCAUUGGGAGAUCAGGAACCACACUGUCGUCUGUCCUGAUGUAAUGUUUUCUUCCUGUUUUUGUAAAGUGUUGAUACUCUUUCCUCUUCUGUAUUUGUGAAACUCAGCGGUGUUUCUCUGAGCAGGUCUCAAUUUUAAAAUGCCUCUUGUCUUGUUUAACUUUUAAAAAUGUGUUUAUGGGCGGGGGUGUGGGGUAGAAGAGGGGUGCUGUUUAAACAGUCUGUGAUAGUCAAUUUGGCCUGUUUUAAUGCCAAUCACGCAGUAAUAGUACAAGUAGCUGAAGUAUUUGUACUGCUGGACAGGAGGUAAUAAUUAUAUGAAUUGGCACUGGUAAGAAAUCCAUUUUUUUUGUUGUUUUUUUUUCUGUAGAAAUGCCCACUAAUUUGGCAUCACAAAUUGUUUCCCCUUAAUUCUAAUCUUAAAGGGUCUGACUCUGACAUGAAAAUUGUAGGGAAGACUGGGUGACUGACUUUGUGCCAGCAGCCCCGGCAGUCAUCCAGCUUUGCUGAGUUUAGGAAAGUCCUUCCUGACGCUGUGGGCUCAAUCUAAGUGGGCUGAGCUGCACAGGUUGAGUGUGAGGUUGAAGUCUUUCCGUGUUAUGACAUCCAUGAGUCCCUGCUCCCUUUGCAGAUGAGGAUGUAAAGGGCAGUGUCAAACACUGCUUGUUGCCCUACCUGUGAAAAGAGGUUUGAGCUUGACCCUUUCCUUGCAGAUGUUCAGCAGUUAUUAGAUGUUGCCUUAGAGUUUUCAUCAACCAUACUGCAUUUUACUCCAUCACUACAAACCUCAUACUGCAAAGGGAAAGCAGUGCCAGCAUAUGCCUCAGGCCAUGCCCACCUUGUCCAUUAAUCCUGCAACCAGUGGCUUUUGCUUAUUGUGUACAUGAAGUGCAUCCUCGCUUAGCAAUUCCUGCACAGAAGACUUUUUCAGCAAGGACUUGUAAAUCCUUGCAAUGCUUAUAUCAGACUUCACCUCUGAAAAUCAUUUGUAUGGAGCGUAACAAGGAGGAUUUUAACCAUUUGGAAACUUCAUUUCUGUGUCAAGCUCAGACUAGCACAAAGGAGAAAUGAUCAACAUGCAAGGAACAUGCCAUGGACUUACCCUGGCACUAGGUGUGGAUACUGGUGAUGGGGGAGGAGCUGUUUGAGAGUGGGAAUGAUCCCUGCUGGGGCUUUCCCCACUGGGAGGUGCUCAAACACCCUUGCAUGAGCAAUAGCCCUUAAUGCUGGUAAAGAAGUGUCUUUCAACCCACGUUUUCAGCCAGUAGCGUCUCUCCUGAGAAACCCUCGUGUUCAUGGCCGCAGGAAACAGUAAUGUGAAGAACUUACUGAAGGUACACCAGGAAUGAUGUCCCCUGUGAGCUUGUGUAUACCCAGAUCAGCAAUGUUUGAAGAUAAGAGCUUGGUCACAAAUGUCAGUGAUCAGCGGCCCCUGAGAAAUACAGGGGGCUAGGUUGAUACUGAUGAGAACCUGUGUGCCUGCAGUGGAAUCGAUACUGGAUUUAUUUGGGGCAGGUGUGUGCCCAGCUCUGAUACACUUGUGGUUAGGUACAGCCUGAAGAGAAGGUGCCUCCCAAAUGCAGAGUGAGCCCCCUGGCCACCCACCAAUGAAAAAAGCCUGAUACAGUGGGAGAACACUUUCAUCUCUGAACAUCACAUCAUCUGCUUCCAGGCAGCAGAGCUGUGAUCUGAGCAGGUGAUGACUCGUACUAACAUCAUCUCUGGGAGCCGUAUCACAUCUCUGGAUAUCUCCUUCAUUGUCUUAGCAAGACUUGUUCUACCAUAGAAGUAUGGGGGAGGGCUGAUGGAGAAACCCCCCCAGAAUCGUGAUUUAGUAUAAAUAAUAACUAGUUAAGCGCUAGUAGUGAUUUUUUUUUUUUCAUACAGUUGCAGCUCUAUCAUUGUUCCUUGUGUAAAGCUAACCAAAUCAAGUACCUCUCUACUUUGCCUGGAAACCCCAGGAUGGACUUUAAAAUUACAAAGCAGGUAACUAUUGCUCUGUGCUUUUUUUAUUCGUGAGAAGAAAGGCUAUUCCUUCUUCUGAGAGGUGAGAACCUGAACUGCGAAUGCAGCCCAGAUGCAGGAUUAUGGCAUUGUCAAUCUGUCCUUCCAAUGAAGGCUUAUUCCUGGAUCUUGGGUCUCUGCUUGUGGAUGGCAAAACUGAAAUAUUGCAACAAACACACAUAAACCUGUAUCUAGAUCUCUGCUCCACAGGCUGUCCACCAGCAAGUUUGAGAAGGCAGCCCACCAAAAGGUACAAGAUGUCCACAGCCACUGCAGGGAGAUUCUAGCUCAUGCUCCAGUUCAUCGUCUGGUCUGACCUCUGGGAAAUCUUUGUACCAUGAUGGGUAAUAGAGCACCUGAGACUUCCACCAAAUAAGAAUAAAUUAUUUGAAGCUUACUGCUCUCUGAAAGGGCUUUCCAAUUUGUCCUCCCUACCUAUAAGAGGAUGAUGAUAAUGAAGCUGGUCUUAAUGGCGACUUAAUGUGCUCUCCAGCUUACAAAGCGGUUAUCUUAGAAGGUACUUUAUUUUUUCAUCAAAUAACAUGAAGCUGGAAGUGAUUGGAGUUACUUCAUAGUUGGUCUUCUGCAGGUAAAAGAAGAAAACUUUUUCCCAGCUGUCUUUUGAUUAAUUCUUUGUCAUCUCGGGUCCUUUGGAAAAGCUUUUCUUUUCAAGGAGUAAUAGAGUGGAAUAAUAGGACCUUAUCAGUCAGUGAGGUUAUAUCAUAUCGCAUAGUUGAUGCAUAUCCACUCCCUGUAUUAUAGCUCCAUUUCCUGGAAAGCAGAUUGCAUCUGCUGCAUGCCAUGGGAAAUUCCCAUACCUGAAAUCUAAGAGGAGUCAUUAUUGCCACCUUUGCCCCUGUGCGGUAUUUACUAUGUGCCUAGUGACCAUCAGUGCUCCUCCUUUCCAUGAUCCCAUUUACACAAUAGCUUGUCCCAAGUCUACAAAUCACUUGCGUGGUUUAAAGAUGCACUAUUGCUUGCUUUAGAAUAGCAGCUAUUAGAGAUGUGGAGAGCAAGGGCAUUGCUCUGCUUUUUAGUGUCUCACUUCAUGGGCCUUCAAAGCGGGUAAGUGCAACUCAGCUUCAUCUGUGUCACUUGUGUGCCAUUACUAGGCCACAUCAGUGACAUCCCAGUGUUACGCAGCCUAGCGGGCAACCUUACAUGAAAAAAUGUUAUGGACGGUCAUGUUGACCAUGUGUCAGUUUGGGAUGUAAUCCUUGCUGCUCCCUCUGUGGCUAGGGUAAGGAAAGGCAAGCCCAGAACUGGACAGCUUUGAUUCUACUUGGGUCUCUCUGCAUUGUGACUAGCUCUAGGUCUUCAGGGAUGUAAGCACAAGGGCUUGGAUGAAAUCUUAAAUGCUCUGAGCCUCAGCUGCCCUAUUCUUAGUGGACCUUAAUUUGCAUUAAGGCUGCUUACAUGAUGGUGUACUCAUCUAAUGUGAAUGGGGAGUCUGGGACUUGUCUACUGAAUCAGGUAAUUGGUCUAUCCAAGUAGUUUCCUACCUCUGGUGAAGGGCUGAUAUCCAGUAAGCUGGGAAAGUGCAGAAUUACAUAAAGUAGCUUCUCACCUGAACUGUGCUUCUUAUGUGGGAAAAGAAAUUUCCUUCCUUACCUCUUGAGGUGAUCACUAUAUGCCUUGAAGCAUCACAGGCGACUGCCCUCAGAUGAGCUUGCAUAACUACAAAUGUUAUUGGCUAAAUAAUUACAUAGCCUCUUGAAGGGAGAAAUAUCAGUUGCAGAAUGUGACUCAGUGCCUUUCAUAUCAGACUGUUCCAAGAAGUUUUAAUAGUCUCUUAAUUGAAGUCCUUAUACCUUGAUAUUAAAAUGCAUUUCAUUGGCAAUGAUAUCAAAGAAAUGUUAAUGCUCCUAUUUCUAAUCUUUCUUGAGACAUAGUAAGUAUAACUUUAAUGAAAAUCACCGUGCAUGAUACUCUUAUAAUACCUGUUUUUUU